rnacentral:lncRNA from 1 species
GAGCAGCGGCAGCAGGAUCACAAAAAACGCCUCGAGGAGCGAGCAGCCGUCGGCCGGCAUGCUGCUGGAUAUCGUCGCCAUAUUUUACGGUGGAGGAGGUUCCGUGAGGAUUGAUGUCUGGCGGUACGUCGAUGUUGGUCGCCUUUAUGAGAGCGAAGGAAUUCCGACAGCACGCGCCACGAUCGACCGUCCCGGUCAGUUACUACUAAAGUUAGUAGCUCGGACUUUCUGUAUUUUUAUCAUGGGAGAAUUCGGGAAUAAAGCGUUCCUUUGCGUCUACUAGUACGAUCUAGAUCUAUUUCCAUAAGAAAACUACUAGGGGAACUUGUAUGGGAGUGGGACACGAGUUUAGUAUAUUGAGGAGUAUUUAACAAAAACUAUCAUAAUUCAUGAAACCAU